CACAAUCAGAAUGAACUUCCUAAAAUAUAAAGGGGAACAUGUUCCUCUCUUGCUUACAGUCUUCACAAAAAAUACUCCAAUAUAUCAGCAUAAUAUAUAAGUCAAGCUAACUUUUUCUUCUCCAAACUUACUUCAGAGGACAAAAGCAGAAGGAAGGAGAAAUGCAAUGGAGCUACAGAAGUGACCACCCUCCUUCCCAGGACUCUGAAAUCUGGAUCCAGGCUCCAUCACACAGUUGGAAAGACUUGGGAAUUCAGAUGGCAUUUGAGAAGUAUAUCAGAAAAUCACAUUUGAAAAAAAGAAAAUCACAUUUGAAAUUAUAUUCUUCAUUGGAAGGCAUGUAUUGUUAAUUACUGUUAC